rnacentral:rRNA from 1 species
CUACGGGCGGCACCAGUGAGGAAUAUUGCACAAUGGGGGGAACCCUGAUGCAGCAACGCCGCGUGGAGGAUGACGCAUUUCGGUGUGUAAACUCCUUUUAUAUGUCAAGAAAAUGACGGUAGCAUAUGAAUAAGCACCGGCUAACUCCGUGCCAGCAGCCGCGGUAAUACGGAGGGUGCAAGCGUUACUCGGGAAUCACUGGGCGUAAAGGACGCGUAGGCGGGUUGGAAAGUCAGGUGUGAAAUCCUACAGCUUAACUGUAGAACUGCACUUGAAACUUCUAAUCUAGAGUAUGGGAGGGGGAGAUGGAAUUAGUGGUGUAGGGGUAAAAUCCGUAGAUAUCACUAGGAAUACCUAAAGCGAAGGCGAUCUCCUGGAACAUUACUGACGCUAAGGCGUGAAAGCGUGGGGAGCAAACAGGAUUAGAUACCCUUGUAGUC